rnacentral:rRNA from 1 species
UACGUAGGGGGCAAGCGUUGUCCGGAUUUAUUGGGCGUAAAGAGCGUGUAGGCGGCUAGGUAGGUCCGUUGUGAAAACUCGAGGCUCACCUCGAGACGUCGAUGGAAACCAUCUAGCUAGAGCGGAAGAGGAGAGUGGAAUUCCUGGUGUAGCGGUGAAAUGCGACAGAUAUCAGGAGGACACCAAUGGCGAAGGCAGCUCGCUGGAACGGUACUGACGCUG